CAGUAGUGCACAGGACGCUGCGCUGCGGAAUAGAAGGAGGGGGAGCAAGGGGUGGCGACUUUAGAAUAGGAGAGCUGGAAAGCGGGGCAAAGAAGGAGAAAAGGGGGAGGGAGAGUGAAAGGAGAAGAAGUAAGCGAUCCGUUGACACAGCUGCCCUCUGCUACGUGUCGUCACACAGAACGAUGCUCUUCGAAGACAGCAGGCCCGCGCGAGGCUACGACGGCCUCCUCCGCGACAGCACGAGCGGACGCGCGCGUUCGACGCCCAAAAAACGUUCCGUCCCCGAGCGACGAAGAUCGGGCGUGCUCGACCGAGGUUCCCGGUCCGCGAUGUUGAACUCCUCGAGCUUCGGCUGAUGGACAACACCGAGAGGCCUCAAUGAGUACGCUGCACCCUUCCUUCAGCGGUACCUUGUUGGGGCGGCGGAACCUCGAGCGGGGCGGAGGCCGGGUGGUGGAGAGGCAGCCGGAGCACGAGGAGGCGGAGCUAGGCAGGCGGGGCGGCGACCUAGGUGCAGCCUAGUCGGCAUAGGCGGCGGGUCUGGUGGUUGGUUCUCAGCGUAGAACGCACAGCACGCCGGCCCUCCUCCUGCUGGCUCUCCUCGCGGGUAAGUAGGCGGCGGAACCUCGAGCGGGAGGGAAGCCCGGCGGUGGAGAGGCAGCCGGAGCUAGGCAGGCGGGGCGGCGGGUCUGGUGGUUGGUUCGCCGCGGAGAACGGACAGGACACCAGCGUCAGACAUGACGCAGACACUCAACGAACGAAGAGGGCCCUGGCUCGAGGUUAGCUGGCCAGCCUAGGGGGUCCGGUCGUCUAGGUUGCCGACGGGAAGGGGCGGAGGCCGGACGUGUAUGUAUUCGAGUCGCGGCGGCGGAGGGAGAGGAUGGCCACGCGCUUUAGAUCUAUCGAUCGUUGCAACGCCGGAGGAGGUCAUGAGGAGAGGAAGUUGGUCGUUUUCGGUACCGCUGGCUCGGCCGCAUGUGCGACGGCUAUUUCAGGCCGUUCCGCCCGAAGCUCCCGAGCGUCCUACACGACGUGUCCCAGGCGUAGUGGGAGAGGAGGUGCUCGCAGUUCUUGUAGCUCUUCCACACGAGGCUUGACCACUUCGCGCGGUUCCUCGUCGGCGAGUCCCAGUCCCCCGGGCAGUCCUACGGGUGGUUCCACGAGUUGUAGUGGUGGUCCUUCUGGGGGACACCUCUUCCAUGGUUGUGGACCCUAGCCAAACUCUACGCCCACGUGUUCUCCCACUAGCUGUAGUAGUCGAGGGGUCUGUAGUAGUUCGCCUAGUGGAGGUAGUGGGAGCUCGGGCCGCAGCUCCAGCUCCACUGGUAGUCGGUCAUCAGUUGGGAGUACGAUGGGAUGGUGUUGUCGCGGUAGAAAUUAGACAACAAUGUUACCCACCUCUCUGUGGUCACUUGGUUCUGCAAAAGAAACUCUGAAAAAUCAUACUCUUCAUCAAAAACAUACCGAUCCAAAAACAAUAGUACUAAGUAUCAUGGAUAUGAUAACUAAUUCAAUAGCAGAACCUAAAACACAUAAAGGCAUCUCACGUGCAGCAAUAAAGUCGUAGAGGUCUUAAACCAUCGCAAGAACAAACCUACAGUGAAAACUUUAAAAGGUAAAAAGUAAAAUCCUAUAGA
rnacentral:rRNA from 1 species